GAAAUGCGAUAAGUAAUGCGAAUUGCAGAAUUCAGUGAGUCAUCGAAUCUUUGAACGCACAUUGCGCCCCGCGGUAUUCCGCGGGGCAUGCCUGUUCGAGCGUCAUUUCAACCCUCAAGCCCUGCUUGGUGCUGGGCCCCGCCCGCCGCGGCCGGCCCUAAAAUCAGUGGCGGCGCCGUCGGGCCCUAAGCGUAGUAAUGCUCGCGCUCCAGGGCCCCGCGGCCGCCCGCCAGGAAACCUACUUUCACGGUUGACCUCGGAUCAGGUAGGGAUACCCGCUGAGUUUAA
rnacentral:misc_RNA from 1 species